GCCAGAGUGCUGGAAUUGGCAGACAGGCACGUUUCAGGAACGUGUGCCCUUUGGGCGUAAGGGUUCGAGUCCCUUCUCUGGCACAA
rnacentral:tRNA from 1 species